rnacentral:rRNA from 1 species
GUCGCAAGACCAAAGUGGGGGACCUUCGGGCCUCAUGCCAUCAGAUGUGCCCAGAUGGGAUUAGCUAGUAGGUGGGGUAACGGCUCACCUAGGCGACGAUCCCUAGCUGGUCUGAGAGGAUGACCAGCCACACUGGAACUGAGACACGGUCCAGACUCCUACGGGAGGCAGCAGUGGGGAAUAUUGCACAAUGGGCGCAAGCCUGGUG